rnacentral:SRP_RNA from 1 species
GCCAGGCGUGGUGGCACGUGCCUGUAGUCCCAGCUACUUGGGAGGCUGAGGUGGAAGGAUCGCUUGAACCCAGGAGUUCUGGGCUGUAGUGCACUAUGCCGAUCGGCUGUUGGCACUAAGUUCAGCAUCAAUAUGGUGACCUCCCAGGAGUGGGGGACCACCAGGUUGCCUAAGGAGGGGUGAACCGGCCCAGGUCGGAAAUGGAACAGGUCAAAACUCCUGUGCUGAUCAGUAGUGGGAUCGCGCCUGUGAAUAGCCACUGCACUCCAGCCUGGGCAACGUAGCAAGACCCCGUAUCU